UUUGUUUUUGCAGUGUUUCUGAUAUAAACCCCUUUAGAGCUGCUUAGCUGAGAACCUUUUUGUAAUAUGCAUUGCAUCCUGCUUGCUAUGAUAAUAGAAAAAAAUCCUUCUUUAUACGCUCAUGAUUUCAAGUUUGCCCAUCUACGGGUUCCAUGACUGUUUGGAAACAGAUGAGCAAUUAGUAUGAUCUGUUGUGGAAAGUUAAAUACAAGCCAGAGAGGGCACAAGGCAGCAUCAACAGAAGUAUGGACUUGCAGAAGGUAUAUUGCACAGCACUGUGCACAGGAAUGGGGAGAGUGGAUCCCAGAUUCCAUCUGAAGCAAGUUCCAAGUUCACUCCUGCUCCAAGGAAAUGGUGGGCAGCUUGGAGGGGAGCUGCCAAAUUCAAAUGAUGUCUUGAACUCUGGAGUUUCCAGAUGAGCUCUCACCAGACUAGGUUUCACACCACCUGCAUUAGGCCCUUCUGCAUCCAGCUGAGCUGGACAACAUGAGAGACAACUCCUUGGGCCUUUGGAACCUCUGCUUUCCAUUCUGGCAAGGGAAUAAGGUCAACGGACAGAUUUGCUGGUUGAAGAAGGAGGCAAGUGACUGAAUGGGGAGGAGAGCAGCUGAGGUUAACUGCUUUCUCCUGUUGGUCCCCUGGAUCUUUUUGUCAGUGCAAUAGCAGCUGGAUCUCCCAGGAAGCUGAAAUUCCAGAAGCAUCUGAGAAAAACAGCAAAAUACAAUAAAGUGGAAAAGCUCUAGG